rnacentral:rRNA from 1 species
AUUGAACGCUGGCGGCAUGCUUUACACAUGCAAGUCGAACGGCAGCGCGGGCUUCGGCCUGGCGGCGAGUGGCGAACGGGUGAGUAAUGCAUCGGAACGUGCCCAGUAGUGGGAGAUAGCCCGGCGAAAGCCGGAUUAAUACCGCAUACGACUUGAGGGUGAAAGCGGGGGACCGAAAGGCCUCGCGCUAUUGGAGCGGCCGAUGUCGGAUUAGCUAGUUGGUGGGGUAAAGGCUUACCAAGGCGACGAUCCGUAGCUGGUCUGAGAGGACGACCAGCCACACUGGGACUGAGACACGGCCCAGACUCCUACGGGAGGCAGCAGUGGGGAAUUUUGGACAAUGGGGGCAACCCUGAUCCAGCCAUGCCGCGUGCGGGAAGAAGGCCUUCGGGUUGUAAACCGCUUUUGUUCGGGAAGAAAUCCUCUGGGCUAAUACCCCGGGGGGAUGACGGUACCGGAAGAAUAAGCACCGGCUAACUACGUG